rnacentral:rRNA from 1 species
GAUCCUGGCUCAGGAUGAACGCUAGCUACAGGCUUAACACAUGCAAGUCGAGGGGCAGCAUUUCAGUUUGCUUGCAAACUGGAGAUGGCGACCGGCGCACGGGUGAGUAACACGUAUCCAACCUGCCGAUAACUCGGGGAUAGCCUUUCGAAAGAAAGAUUAAUACCCGAUAGUAUAAUGAAACCGCAUGGUCUUAUUAUUAAAGAAUUUCGGUUAUCGAUGGGGAUGCGUUCCAUUAGGCAGUUGG